rfam:Nicotiana attenuata strain TT scaffold04872, whole genome shotgun sequence.
GUAAUGUGCAUUGUUACAUGUAGCACCGGCUCGCAUAAAAUUCACUGGCCAGUGCUCAUGUGACAAUCCCCGUUGCU